CUAUCGCUCUCGGCCCUUUUGGCUUGGAAUAUGUGUAGUUUCUGUUCUUAUCAGUUUAAUCGCUGAUAUCUCCCGAAGGUGGGGAGUGUUUGUAUUAAAUGGAUUUUUGGAGCAGGGAGAUGGCUUAAGGGCUUGCUCUGUCCUCUCCAUGUAUCAGCCUGGUAUUGCAGUGUUUCCAGGAAUGGUGCACCCAAC